UACAGAGGUCCCAAGCGUUGUUCGGAUUCACUGGGCGUAAAGGGUGCGUAGGGGGUGAGGUAAGUCGGAUGUGAAAGCUCGGAGCUCAACUCCGAAAUGGCAUUGGAAACUACCUCGCUAGAGGAUCGGAGGGGAGACUGGAAUUCUCGGUGUAGCAGUGAAAUGCGUAGAUAUCGAGAGGAACACCAGUGGCGAAGGCGAGUCUCUGGACGAUUCCUGACGCUGAGGCACGAAAGCCAGGGGAGCAAACGGG
rnacentral:rRNA from 1 species